rnacentral:rRNA from 1 species
AUUGAACGCUGGCGGCAGGCUUAACACAUGCAAGUCGAGCGAGCGGCGGACGGGUGAGUAAUGUCUGGGAAACUGCCUGAUGGAGGGGGAUCACUACUGGCCACCGUAGCUAAUACCGCAUACCCUCAGAUUUUCCCAUGUUGGAUUAGCUAGUAGGUGGGGUAUUGGCUCACCUGGGCGACGAUCCCUAGCUGGUCUGAGGGGAUGACAAGCAACAAGGGAACUGAGACACGGACCAGACUCAUACGGGAGGCAGCAGGGGGGAAUAGGGCACAAUGGGCGAAAGCCUGAUGCAGCCAUGCCGCGGGUGUGAAGAAGGCCUUCGGGUUGUAAAGCACUUUCAGCGAGGAGGCGGUACUCGCAGAAGAAGCAACGGCUAACUCCGUGCCAGCAGCCGCGGUAAUAC